rnacentral:tRNA from 2 species
GCACCAGUGGCCAAAUUGGAUAAGGCACUAGUCUACGAAACUAGCGACUACAGGUUCGAAUCCUGUCUGGUGCGCCA